AGAUAAUCGGUGUUCAGGCCUCGGGUUAAUUCAUUUAUUGAUUUAUUGUUUGUUUAUUUGUCUUUUGCUCUCUCUAUUUUUCGUUUUUUCUUUUUUCAAAAGAAGAGAUGAAGCCU
rnacentral:ribozyme from 14 species